rnacentral:telomerase_RNA from 1 species
GACCGAGGCGUUGCGUGUGGAGAUGUGAGAUGUAACCUAACCUAGGUUUUCAUUCCGGGCCUUCUAUGCCCUUGCGGGCCCAAAAAUAUAAAAGAAAGGGCGUAAUUUUACGCAAGCGUCAUUUUAC